UGUGCACGUGGCCCAAGGCCAGACCGACCUCCCCUGCGAAAAGCCUCCCUUUGCUCCUACUUCCCGCCCGAGGGUUUCCAGCUCCGUUGCGUCUGCCAGCCAGACUGUGGUGAGUUUUGAUGAAGGAAGUUGCUGUGUCAGAGAAACCCACGUGACCAGGAACCAGCGAACUCCCACCCAGGGCCAACAGGGUAUUGAGGACCUCAAGCCAACAGGCUUUGAGGCAUGCAUCCUGCCAACAAUUGACACCUGAGCAGGGUCAAAUAAAGGGCCCCGGGAUAAAACUGAGAAGGCCACUGUCAGGCUUCUUACAAGGGACCAGUAUGGAUGUAGAAGCCCAAAGAGGAAAUCGGUAAGAGCUGAACUCACUUCUUCCUUUCCCAAAGCACAAGUCCCCCCUCCUAUA